CAAGAAAUAGUUUAAAUAAAAUAUUAGUUUUGGGAAUUAAUGAUAAAGAGAAUUCUUUUUUCUUGA
rnacentral:tRNA from 1 species